rnacentral:rRNA from 1 species
AACGAACGCUGGCGGCAUGCCUAACACAUGCAAGUCGAACGAGACCUUCGGGUCUAGUGGCGCACGGGUGCGUAACGCGUGGGAACCUGCCCUUAGGUUCGGAAUAACUCCCCGAAAGGGGUGCUAAUACCGGAUAAUGUCUUCGGACCAAAGAUUUAUCGCCUUUGGAUGGGCCCGCGUUGGAUUAGCUAGUUGGUAGGGUAAAAGCCUACCAAGGCGACGAUCCAUAGCUGGUCUGAGAGGAUGAUCAGCCACACUGGGACUGAGACACGGCCCAGAAUACUACGGGAGGCAGCAGUGGGGAAUAUUGGAAAAUGGGCGAAAGCCUGAUCCAGCAAUGACGCGUGAGUGAUGAAGGCCUUAGGGUUGUAAAGCUAUUUUACCCGGGAUGAUAAUGACAGUACCGGGAGAAUAAGCUCCGGCUAACUCCGUG